rnacentral:rRNA from 1 species
CAGUAGCCGCGGUAAUACAGAGGGUGCGAGCGUUAAUCGGAUUUACUGGGCGUAAAGCGUGCGUAGGCGGCUAAUUGAGUCGGAUGUGAAAUCCCCGAGCUUAACUUGGGAAUUGCAUUCGAUACUGGUUAGCUAGAUUGUGGGAGAGGAUGGUAGAAUUCCAGGUGUAGCGGUGAAAUGCGUAGAGAUCUGGAGGAAUACCGAUGGCGAAGGCAGCCAUCUGGCCUAACACUGACGCUGAGGUACGAAAGCAUGGGGAGCAAACAGGAUUAGAGACCCCCGUAGUCCCUGUCUCUUAUAC